AAGUACCUUCGGGUGCGAGUACAGUGGCGCACGGGUGAGUAACACGUAGCUAACGUCCCCCCUCGCUGAGGAUAACUCCGGGAAACCGGAGCUAAUACUGAAUGAUCUGCUACGGUCUGCGGACUGUAUCGGUAAAGCCUUCGGGCGCGAGGGGAUCGGGCUGCGUAACAUUAGCUUGAUGGUGGGGUAACGGCCUACCAUGGCGACGAUGUUUAGCUGGUCUGAGAGGAUGAUCAGCCACACUGGAACUGAAACACGGUCCAGACUCCCACGGGAGGCAGCAGUUGGGAAUAUUGGACAAUGGGGGAAACCCUGAUCCAGCAAUCCCGCGUGAGUGAUGAAGGCCCUCGGGUCGUAAAGCUCUUUCAGCAGGGAAGAAGAUCUGACGUUACCUGCAGAAGAAGCACCGGCUAACUCCGUGCCAGCAGCCGCGGUAAUACGGAGGGUGCAAGCGUUGUUCGGAAUCAUUGGGCGUAAAGUGCGUGUAGGCGGCCUUCUAAGUCUGGUGUGAAAGCCCGGGGCUUAACCCCGGAAGUGCACUGGAUACUGGAUGGCUAGAGGGCGAGAGAGGGAAGCGGAAUUCCUGGUGUAGGGGUGAAAUCCGUAGAUAUCAGGAGGAACAUCUGUGGCGAAGGC
rnacentral:rRNA from 1 species